AGCAGCGCAGCGGAAGCGCGUCGGGCUCAUAACCCGAAGGUCCUUGGAUCGAAACCAAGGGAAGCUA
rfam:Dothistroma septosporum NZE10 unplaced genomic scaffold DOTSEscaffold_6, whole genome shotgun sequence.